GGGGAGGCGGGAAAGGCGAGGAACGCGAGCGAACAUUCGCACCUGGUUCAAUGCGGACCCUUGUUCCCGGAGCGGAGUUGGGGGAUGGGGUGGAAGCGACUUUUUACCAGUAUACGGAACCCCGGAAACGUGCUGGGGCUAAGGAACUACUGACAGCCUCCUAUGGCCAUGCACUCCUAUGAGUUCUGGGGGCUGGCACUUACUGUACAGAACAGAAUGGACCUGUCCCUACCUUCAGAGACCUUCCAGCUUUGGGGAGAAGAUCAGGAAAUCAGGAGAGAAUUACAAAGCAGCAGCAAACGCUUUGACAGAGGUCUUUCUUCUAAUUCUUCUGGCCAAUCAAGGUCCCAGCAAGCCACUGACAGAGAGGGUGAGAGACGGGAAAAAGGCAAGAUUUAUCUAGGCCUUUGAUGUACCAGGAGCGUCUAGAGUGUCCUCAUCUAUGGUAUCUCAUUUUAUCCUCUCUACCUCCCUGUGAACUAGAGCUUUUUAUACCCAUUUUGACACCUGAAGAAACCAAGGCUCCAGCAAUUAAGUAACUUGCCCGAGGAUGGAGUACAGAGCCAGGCUUCCAAUCCAGGGGUCAGUUUUCAGAGCUUUUGCUCUUCCUGCAUCCUGGGACGAAGUGGAAUACACAGAAAACCUCUACUGGGAUCACAUGGCAAGUUUACUUCUCUCCGGGGAGACUCUAGCCCUUUUUCCCCAACCUACGAAAAAGAAAAGGCCGAGGGGAGACUGAAGAUCUUUUGUGAGAUCUGCUAGAACUUCAUGAAAAGGUGCUGACACCACAAAGCAAGAACUUGGAUCCCAUCCCUGCCUCCUGGGAUUAACCUAUAUUUCCUCAUUGGCCUGAGAUCCAAGAGACAAAGAGAGACAUGCCCCAGAGCACAGGCAGCAGAAAAGUUCGGGCGAGUUCUGGGAGACUCUGACCUGCCCCAGGCUAGGGAGGGCACUACCUGGAGAGUUCUGCCAGAUUCUUCAGAAGCUGUCACUUGGGCCUGGCCCCUCCUCCUUCCCCUCUCUCCUCCCCCACGUCUGACCCUGCAGAGAGGCACGUCCAGCACGAAUUCCUCCGAACCUUAGAUGCCUUUAGGAUUUUAAUGUGUCUGAAGAGUUCCCUUCCUUGACAAGCGGCAGCAUUAGUCAAGUUGAGUGGGUGGGAAGGGCAUUUCCCGUCAAUCCAGGGCCCCGGAGGAAGGGGAGACCCUCCUCCCUCCCAGCCUUGGCAAGCAGCUCCUGCAGAGAUCCACGUGGGUGGCAAUUGAGUCCAGAGGAGCCAAAGGGUUGCUUGCUGGGCAGGAAUGCCCACAGGCCGCACCUUCCUCAGCCCUCCUAGCACCUCAUCCUGUCUGGACCCGUGGAGGGGGUGGCGGUGCCAGGGAGUGGGUUCUCCUGUGUCUGACUCCAACAACCGGUUUAUUGUGAUGAUUCUAUUUGUGUUCCCUGUGUUCUGUUUGACUUGGCAGCCCAGAGGGGAAAGGGCAGCAGGUUCACUCCGGUUUGUACUGGGUGGUUCCUGCAGACACACCCAGGUAUUAAAGCAAGCGGCUUGCACUGGGGAUGCCUUUACCUGGGGGCCCUCAGUGUGCAAAAGCAAGGUGUGGGAAGUAUUUCCUCUUUAUGGGCCAGCCAGGUGUGGCUGGCAUGUUACCUAUUCCUGUAUUACUAACGUCAUUCAGAUUCAGGUCAAAGGGCAGGCUUACCAGACUCCCAUCAUCCUGGGAUCCAGGACCAGGGGUGGUUGAUUAUGUCCAUUUGGGCUGGAUAACCCUGGAUAUCUAGUACCCAUGGGCACCAUAACUCCUGGGUCUAAAACAAAAAUCCAAAGCCUGACAAUUGGGUUCUACUUUGAAAUCUAGACUCUCCUAAACAUCCAAACUAAGGACUCUUCUCAGACAAGGUGAUAACAUUCAAGGAGACCAGACUUCAAGGUCAAAUACUUAGUCUGGAACUCUGGAUUUGCCCACUUAUUUACCUGAGCCUUUAUCUAGUACUGAAAUCUCUAGCACGUGGGAAAUAGCAGCUAACACUUAGGCUACAAGGCGCCAGGCGUUGUUCUCAGCGUUUUUAUGAAAACUCGUUUAGGCUUCAAAACAACCUAAAGAGGUGAGUAGGUGAGUACUGUUAUCAUCAUCUUCUUUUACAGACGAGGCACAGAGGCACAGAGAGGGCAAGGACAUUGCCAGAGGUCACCGGCUAAUAGGCAACAGUGCCUUGAUUCCACAGCAGGUAGUCCGGCUCUGGAACCCAUGUGCUUAACCACUAUGUGGUAGAGACGUUCCCAGAGGGCCCACACUGUGUCAGGGGUUAGAGAUGUCAUGGAGAGCAGACACAGACACAGCCCCCAGUCCCUAUCCCUGUCAGCUUGACACUUAGGAGGCUCCCGAGUCAACUUGAAAGGGCCUUUCUAUCAAGCCUAGAAACUACCCUCGCCCUUCAUCCUUUACGCGAGGAAAGACAGGCAUUUCCUAGGUGAAGGUGACAGUCAUGGUCAUCCAGCCAGGUCAGUAAAAGGAAGUGCGCCUUCAGAAGUGCACUGGCUUCCACGGGAUCCUUACCUGCCCCGGGCACAAGAGCAAAACCUUGCACAACUACACUCAGGUUCUGUCAGGAAAGAGCGUUCAACUAGGUAGGCAGGCGUGUGCCUCUCUCCGCUCCUUUGCACACUGAGGGGUGGCAGAGCCAGGUGAGGGGGCUGAGUCACGUCCAGCAGGCAAGGCCACAGAGCCCUUCCCUGAAGAAAGUGGCCCUGACCUAGACAGCCAGGUGAUGAAACCAUUUCCUCUACCAGAGAGGCCCGACCACAUGGCUGCAGGGCCUGGCAAGGCCACAGGCUUUGUUCUCCAAGGCCGCUCCCUACCGGAUGUGAUAAUGUGCACUGUGGACUUGAGACACUUAACAAUUAUUUCUUCAAUGGAGACGAGGUGUAGAUAAUUACCGUUGCCCACAGUUAUUGAGCUCUUAGCGUGCUUUAUGUGGCUGAUAUGGAUUCAUUUAUUUAAUCCUUAAAACAACUCUAUGAAGUAGGUUCUGUUAUUAUCUCCACUUGCUGGAUGAAAAAUGGAGGCUCAGAGAAGUUAGCUUCUCCAAGUCUCGACGGGCGAUAACUGAGAUUCAUACCCAGGAAUGGCUGACUUCCAAGAGUGUGCUCUCUUAACUAUCUAAAGCAAAGUGAGGACCCGUCCUCUGAAUCAGUGGGGACAUGGGGACAGGAAGAAGUCUUGAGACAUUUCCAUAUUGGACUGGGGGGUUCAAGGCCCCCAAAUCCAGUUUACUGGGGAUCCUUGGGUCCUCCAGAAGUGUGAUCUGAUGUUGGCCCCCAGAUUCUGUCUGGCCACUGUAGAGCAACAUGGGCCAGAGGUGGUUCCAAUAAUUCCCUCAGGCUAACUAGAUCCCAUAUAAAAGCCUAAAACUGGGCUGGAACCUUGCUGACCCUCCAAGCAUAGAGCAGGAUGGAGGCAGAGACUACCUAAGUACAAAACUGUGAGUGUCAUAUUUCUGGGUAUUUGCGCAGACAGGGCUUGGGUUCUGUGCUAUGACUGGAAGUGAGACUUGUCCAUCUGGGCUUGGGAUCUGUGCUGUGACUAGGAUGGCAUCAUACAAGGCCAAAGCCAAAACCCUCCAGGCACCUUUCUAUUCCUGGCCCUUUUAUAGCACCUCAUUUCCCUCCACCUCCUCCCAAUAACACGUAAACACACCUUGGUAUUAUUUAAUAACACCGGCCCUGGAGCCAGACUCCUUGCGUUUUAAUCCUAGCUCUGCCACUUACUUGCAAAGUAUUUAUCUUCCAAAUUGUCUUAGCUUCCUGUACCUCAGUUUCCUUGUCUGAAAACGGGGAUGACAAUAGUCCCUUCCUUAACAGCGCUGUUAAGAGGUCAAAAAGAUAAUGCACGGGAUGGGUAUGGUAAAUGCUCAAUACAUGUUAGGCAUUGUUAUUGUUGCAGUAGUUUCUUCCCUCUUUGCGUCCUUUUUUCUCUGGAUAUGAGAAAAUCUUGUUGACAACUGGCUGUAAGCUAUCUCCAACUGGGUUACUGUUUACAUUCCUCCUCUCAUAUCCUCUGACUGUCAAUCCUUAUGUAGUCCUUCCUGAAGAGAUUCAGGAGCGGGUGCUCCUAGAAUGGGGAAGAAAUCCCAUUAGAUUAGGUCAGGGAUCUUUGGGUAAUUCCUUAAAGCCAAUUUUCUUGACGAUUUUAAUGGGUCCACUUGGGAAGGCGGCCAAAGCUAUUAAUUUGUAACAGCUGCUGAGAAAUCACUGUCAACACCUCGGUAUAGAUCCUCUCUGUGGGGCACAGGAGUUAGGUCGAAAGUCAUGAAAGCUAAAAUAAUUAAUGAGCAACAGCAAUGUAGAGGAUCGCUAAAUCCUAUUUGUGAGCUAAAAUGCUAACGAUUUAAUUAAUUUAAUUCAAUCGUAAAUUAAAGGGCAAAACAAAUAGCCCUUUAAUAAAAACACCCCCCCCUCCUUGGCUGAGUCCCCCCGGAGACUCUCACCUCCUCUUCUUAGACUAUCAUCUCAGUCUGAUGACAAACCAUGUCUUAAUAGAUUUAACUUCUGUUUGACUUCUAACCUAAGAGCAGUACAAACCCACGUGCCUGCUAAAUAUAAGCUGAUGAUGACACGGGCCUAGGAUAGAAAGUGAGCGACCCAGUGGGUGAGUUAAUGCCACAAAGGAGAGUCAGGGUGAGGGGGUACCUUAGCUCACAUCUGAACAAAGGAGUGUAUUUCCUGUGAAGUCUGAUGAGAAAAUGAAAAAAAAAAAAAAAAAAAAGGUGUGGUUUGACUCCAUCACACAAAGUUACAGCAGGUCUUGCCCUGGCGUAGAACUUUAAAGACCUGAGCAGCACAUUUGUGGUUUGGUGGCUUUAUCCGAUUCUGGGGCUGAUGCCUGCUGCUUCUAGUUCAUGGCUGUAGAGUUUCCAGUCCCCUUUGGGGCUCUUACGUUAUGGUUUCAGGUUGGCCACAUAUCUGUCUCCACUAUUCAGAUGGAACAGCCCCAAGGUCCCCCCCGCCCCACAAAGAGACCAAGUUUACAACAGGGGCCUCCCAUGUGCCAGAGCCUGCUUUAUCUGCCUCAUUUCACUCAUGAUGCCCCCUUCCCAGGUUAGGAAACUGAGGCUUCAUACAAGUUAAAUAAUCGAUCCAGGAUCAUACAAGUAGAAAGGUGUCAAGCCUGGAUUCACACCUGAGACCAUAGGAUGUGACUGCCCAGAUUGCAUGCUUACCCACCAAAUUAUACGGCAUCACCGUAUCCUUUCCCCAUCUACACCAUGGCUUGUGCUGUGCGUUGCCCUUUCUUCUGCACACCUAGGGAGGGUGUCCUGGCCAUUCGGCAAUUUUUCAUCCCUCAAAGACCUUCUUUAAUGUUCUGCUGUCCCACCCCUUCCAGCCCAAGGAAGUCUCUCCACCCUCUGAACUUUUUUCUGAACUCCACCCUCUGAACUUCUGGCUCUGAAACACACAUGAUCCUGUGUGAUUCUUCAAGUGUCGUAUUGCACAGGCUCUGUCUCCCAACUAAAUUACAAGCCUCCAAAAGUCGGGAUCACUGCAGUCCCCCCAGCACUCAGCCUAAGAUCUGUGGACACAGUAGACACUCACUAGGUGUCUAAACAAAAUGAAAGAAAACUCAAGAUAAAUAUUCCAAAUGGUGCCUCUGCACAGAGAUCAUUUUCGGCAAGCGAGAGUCAUUUGGAGCCCAGCUGCUUUCAUCUAUCAAUCUUCUCGGAGUGCCUGGCCAAUACAUAGGUGACGAAUAAAUAUUGGAGAAUAAAACAAGGAAUGAAACUCCAGCUCCCUCACCUGUGGCGUGACUUGGGCAAAUUAUCGAAAAUCCUCCAAAUCUCCGUUUCCUUCUGGAAAAUAUGGGGGACAUUCUUGGAGCGUUUAUGUGAGAUCAGAGCCAUGUGAGGCAUGCCCACUCACUCACAGCCCUUGGCACACUACAGCUCCUGUGAUCACAUUACCACCAUUACUGUUUUCUAAACCUUCCACGGGAAAUGGCUCCAGCCACUCAAAGGUAAAGGACUUGGGUCACUAGUCUACCAAGGGUGCCGUGGAAAGUUGCUGCAGGCGAUGAUCAAAACAAUCCCAAGCAACCACACGAUCCACAGUCUUCUGGCAUAUUGCUAUUUACCAGGUCUCGGGGGUUACGUUUUGUUUUUGCUUGUGGCCCAAUCGGAACCCCCAUGGUGUCUUCCUAUGGAACUCGGCGUACCUUUACUGCGACGGGGGAGGGGGGUGCUUUUCCUUUCUUUAUUGAGAAAAGGAAACAGGAAAUCGAAUGUAAAACCCUCCGACGGUUAGUGUCACACCGAAAGUUGUGAAUUUAACCACACCCCCGCCAGGAAAUGAAAGUACAGUUCUCACAGUGAUGUUCCCUCUCCUUUCGAGGCCCACACGGUGUUUUUCAGAUUUUAGUUAGAUAGUGUAGAUCAAAGGGCUGAACUUGGGCACGGGUUGUCACUGGGUAUUUGUUGAUUUGCGCAUAGAUUAGCACACCGAUUUGAAAUUGCACAAGUGGAGAAGGGACUUUCACUGGCUCUGUGACAAUAUGGCUCCUAGCAGACGUCACAACCUGACAGGUCCACAGACUAGAUUCUGACCCACAGACAUAUUUUUCUGUUCCAGCCCACAGUCUGGAUUUACAGCCUCCCUAGGAGGAAGACGGUGAUAGGGGGUGACAGCCGCCCCCUUUAGGUCUAGGGCACUCGUUUCUGGUUUGGUGAAUCAGCCACUGCACUGAUCUGCCUUCCCUGCCCUGCCUGCCCUGGGGGGCGUUUGAAAUUCCAGGCUUCUGUCCAAUGUCUAAAAGACAGUCACAAAGCUGCCACUCCCACGGAGACAGGUGUAGGUUUCUGACACCUGAACUUCUCCAGUAUAUGCAAGCCUUUCCUUCUCACCUGCUCCUCCCUGCACAGGCCUCCUGAUCACUAGUCCCUGCUACUCCCAAUAUAGACAGUUGUUCAUAAUCUGCCCUAGCCUGGGCAAGUUUGCCAUUUCUUCGCUUUACACAAGGGUAAGUGUGGAUGGGAGGGAUGCCUACUAGGAAAUUCUGGAGGAGCAAGUGAGUUGAGGAGCUAUGGCCCCAUCAGAUCUUCCUCUGAACUGCACAGUUUCCUUAGUUGAUGGCAUAGACCUCUUGUUUUGCCACCCAACACUCAUUCUUGCUUCUACCCGCCACCCCAGGGAUCACCCCUCCCCGCUCUCAAUCCCCGUGUUCUCUGUGGAGUUGACCCUCUCCCUCGAGAGCUGGGUCCUAGAGCUCCUAGAUGAAGCCUUGCCUGACAGAGGAUCGCCCCUCAGACUUUCCGGUUCCAUGAGUGGCUCGCUAGCAACUAGCCCCUAAACCUUUCCAUGUAUGUAUUCUUUGUAUUCAAACCACCGUAGGUUCACGCUACACAUUCUUUUCACAAUUGUCUGUCUUUACCACCGUCACUACAUGUCACUCCCCUGAUAAGAACUUCAAGCCCUCAGAACUGCUGGGAAAACACUUCUGGACGCGGGUGACUUUUAGAGGUGUCGGCCCAUUGAGGUGUUCGGUUGCCCCCAAGGUCUCCGGCAAACAGGAAUUACCCCCACAUCUGAGGGGGUAGCGAAUAGACAACAGGUGACCGUUAGCCUUUAGGAUACUGUCGUGCUUUUAACCUGUUGGCCACUGACUGACAGACGUCCAGGCGUUACAUGCUCCUUGAGGGCGAAGGACUAUGCCUUAGUCUCAGUUUUAUUUCCAGAGCCUAGUCGGUGUGCCUGGUAUAGAAUAAGUGCUCAAUAAUCAUAUAUUGAGUAAAUAAAGGGAUCACUUGCUGAAAACUCUGGGUCAGGGCAUCAAGAAAUAAGACUGACUCUGAGUCUUCUGUGGAGUUGCUGCUAAGCCCUGAGAAACAUGACUGACCCGGAUCCAUAAGCAUUUAUUAAUGAUGAGGGCAUGCUGACGUUCGUACAGGAUUUCCACAUAGUUUCAUUCUUAUGCAUUGAGGUAAAACGCACACCUCGUAUGCCAUCAUCAGACAGUUUGAAGAGGGCACACGCUGGUACAGAAGAGUGGUUACAAGUCUGGGAGCCGGAGUCAGGCUGCCUAGGUCUAAAUCUUGUCUCUUCCAUUUACUAGCAGUGUGGUCUUGGGCACGUACCUAAUCUCUCUGUGGCCUCAUUUCCCCAUCUGUAAAAUUUGGGUAGUAAGGAUACCCAUCAUGGGGGCUCCCGGGUGGCUCAGUCGGUUAAGCGGCCGACUGCAGCUCAGGUCAUGAUCUCACAGGUCAUGAGUUCAAGCCCCACGUCGGGCUCUUUGCUGACAGCACAGAGCCUGGAGCCUGCUUCAGAUUCUGUGUCUCCCUCUCUCUCUCUGCAUCUUUCCCACUCAUGCUGUCUCCCUCACCUCUCUCUCAAGAAUAA